rnacentral:rRNA from 1 species
UACGUAGGGUGCAAGCGUUGUCCGGAAUCACUGGGCUUAAAGCGCGUGUAGGCGGCUGGGAACGUCGGUAGUUGAAAGCCCCCGGCUCAACCGGGGAAGUGGUGCCGAAACGACCCGUCUGGAGGGACGUAGGGGGAUCUGGAACUUCCGGUGGAGCGGUGAAAUGCGUUGAGAUCGGAAGGAACGCCCGUGGCGAAAGCGAGGUCCUGGACGUCUACUGACGCUGAGACGCGAAAGCUAGGGGAGCAAACGGG